rnacentral:rRNA from 1 species
UACGUAGGGUGCGAGCGUUAAUCGGAAUUACUGGGCGUAAAGCGUGCGCAGGCGGUUCGUUAUGUCCGAUGUGAAAGCCCCGAGCUCAACUUGGGAAUGGCAUUGGAAACUGGCGGGCUGGAGUGUGGCAGAGGGGGGGUGGAAUUCCACGUGUAGCAGUGAAAUGCGUAGAGAUGUGGAGGAACACCGAUGGCGAAGGCAGCCCCCCUGGGCCAACACUGACGCUCAGGCACGAAAGCGUGGGGAGCGAACAGG